AAAAUGGCCGCCUACAUUGCCAUGUGUUUGCCAGGUUCCCACUUCUUGAGGAGUUCGCGGAUAGCCGGGAGCAACCAGAUCGGGUUCCUCUGGUGGUGGUGGCGAACAACGGGGCAAGGGUUGAUGUACCUGCAGGUUCCAAUGCUGAUUCUGGUUGUGGGCAGCAGAUUGGAUGCGAGGGCAGCACUCCUGCGCUUGCUGGCGUUCGACGACGAUCGGAUUCAUCCCCGACAAGGCCUGCACAGUGAACUGACAGAGUCAACCCCCAGGUGCCUUGUUGGAUGAAAAGGUAUGAAAACAAUGAUUCGCACGCGCCAAUGAAAACAAUGAUUCACGCGGGUGGGGAAAAUUCAGACAUGAGGAAGAUGAUUUCUGAUUAAGGUUGGGGAGUACGCCACCAGACCGGACACCGUGUCCAUCCCGAAUUAGUGCUAUGGAGCAGUUGAUUCGCAAAUACGCAGAGGAACCAACUAAAAGUGUGAUAAGACCUGAAAUUGGCUUUAGCCAAUCCGGAGCUGUUUGAAGGCAUGUUUGAGCAUGCAAAGGCGUCACUGACUACGCUUGGUGUGGAAGGUGACGUCGCGGGAGAUGCCCCCCGUGGAUUUGGAGGCAAUUUCUGCAGAGCUGGGAACAGGGAAUUCGUCGAGGCGUGACUGGGGGAGAAGUACCCCACAUCGAUUGGGCUGUGCCAAGUGGAACCUUCUGAACAUGACAUUGGCAAGUUCUACCUCAGCAUGAUAGGGUGCGGCGAGAACAUUCUAAAGAAGAAAUGGUUCAAGCAUUAUCAUCCAAUACUAGCAGUGGGUUCUGGUCAAGACCUGAAGGAUGAGCUAACCCCUGGUGGCGAAUUGACACUGAAUUUGUGGAGAUGCAUACAACGGAUGCUAAGCGAGAAGGAGAUCAUGUACAGAGGGUAGUUAGAUAGAUUCAGAGGGAUAUUCGACCCUCAUUUUGUGGUGGAGCUUUGUAAGGAUGGUGAAGCAAAAGACUGGGAGUACAUCUACAUGAUGAUGGACUGUAAAAAGAUGGGCUACAGAAUCGACUGGCUUAAAAAGUUCAUGUUUCCGGUUAAUUACAUGGAUUGCUAGUCACUGUACAUCCUGGACAAGGGUACGAAAGUUGUGAUGGGGCUUGAUCCAACUGAGACAGAUGGGUCAGAUGAGACGAAGAUCAAGCACGAGCCCUUGGCAAGGAAGUUUCAGCAAAGCUUCUGCACCCUGUUCAAUGACGUUUAUGGUGUUGGAUUGGUAGACAGCUGGGUGGUCUUUUAUGUACCUGCUGGUGGCGCAGCACGAGCCAUGUAGCAGGGAAAACAGUAGUAUAUAUGCCAUGCACUACAUCCUGGAUUUCACCGGUCUGUACCUGUGAAGGACACUUACUCAGGGUCAGAUUGAGCAUCUACGAAAGAAGAUUGCAUACGAGAUAGUGGCCACGAAGGGUAACAAAGGAGAACUCCCGGACUUCCUGUACCAGGAGAUUGUUGAUUGAUGACGAAUCAGAAGUACCUGCAGUCUGUGUGCAGCCCGUCGAGAUAUUUUGGCUGUGCGUCCUCUUUGUCGGUAGAUGUGGAGGUUUAAUAGGGAAGCCAUGAUAGGGUGCGGCAAUAACAUUCGAAAUUAGAUUGUAAGUUUGGGGACCUAUGGACAUGCGUUGUUUUAAUUAUGUGGACCUGUACUUAAGUAUGUGGAACUGGGUGAA